AGCUCCAAUAGUGUAUACUAGUGUUGUUGCGGUUAAAACGUUCGUAGUCGAAUAAGAGACCGGUGAGCGCAGAGAGCGCUCCACGUUACUGCCUAGGGCGCACCACGGCGCGCUCGUGCCUAAGUGUGCUCCGGGCAAGUUACCAUGACCAAAUUUUAGUGUUCAUAGCAAGCACCUUGUGCCCUGGAUACAAUAGCAUGGGAUAACGCUGAGAGGACUUCGACCUGGGUUCCGUUGGUGAUCAGGAUCGAAGGAAUGAUUAACAGGAGCAGUCGGGGGUAGUCGCAUUCCAUCGCUAGAGGUGAAAUUCUUUGACCGAUGGAGGACGAACAACAGCGAAGGCAUCUACCAAGUAUGUUUUCA
rnacentral:rRNA from 1 species